rnacentral:rRNA from 1 species
CCUACGGGUGGCAGCAGUGAGGAAUAUUGGUCAAUGGGCGGGAGCCUGAACCAGCCAAGCCGCGUGAAGGAAGAAGGCGCCAGGCGUCGUCAACUUCUUUUGUCGGGGAACAAAGGGCGCCACGCGUGGCGUUGUGAGUGUACCCGAAGAUAAAGCAUCGGCUAACUCCGUGCCAGCAGCCGCGGUAAUACGGAGGAUGCGAGCGUUAUCCGGAUUUAUUGGGUUUAAAGGGUGCGUAGGCGGGCAUUUAAGCCGGCGGUCAAAUGUCGGGGCUCAACCCCGGCCUGCGGUCGGAACUGGGUGCCUUGAGUGGGCGAGAAGUAUGCAGAAUGCGUGGUGUAGCGGUGAAAUGCAUAGAUAUCACGCAGAACCCCGAUUGCGAAGGCAGCAUACCGGCGCCCUACUGACGCUGAGGCACGAAAGUGCGGGUAUCGAACAGGAUUAGAUACCCCAGUAGUC